rnacentral:rRNA from 1 species
AUUGAACGCUGGCGGCAGGCUUAACACAUGCAAGUCGAACGAAGUCUUCGGACUUAGUGGCGGACGGGUGAGUAACACGUAGGAACGUACCUUUUGGUUCGGAACAACUCAGGGAAACUUGAGCUAAUACCGGAUGAGCCCUUAGGGGGAAAGAUUUAUCGCCGAAAGAGCGGCCCGCGUUAGAUUAGCUAGUUGGUGAGGUAAAGGCUCACCAAGGCUACGAUCUAUAGCUGGUCUGAGAGGAUGAUCAGCCACACUGGGACUGAGACACGGCCCAGACUCCUACGGGAGGCAGCAGUGGGGAAUCUUGCGCAAUGGGCGAAAGCCUGACGCAGCCAUGCCGCGUGAAUGAUGAAGGUCUUAGGAUUGUAAAAUUCUUCUACCAGGGACGAUAAUGACGGUACCUGGAGAAAAAGCCCCGGCUAACUUCGUGCCAGCCGCCGCCGUAAGAC